AAAGAAUUAGCUCAACUGGUAGAGCAACCGUUUUACACACGGUAGGUUAAGUGUUCGAGCCACUUAUUCUUUA
rnacentral:tRNA from 1 species